GAUGAAGAACGUAGCGAAAUGCGAUAAGUAGUGUGAAUUGCAGAAUUCAGUGAAUCAUCGAAUCUUUGAACGCACAUUGCGCCCCUUGGUAUCCCGAGGGGCAUGCCUGUUCGAGCGUCAUUUCACCACUCAAGCCUGGCUUGGUGUUGGGCGACGUCCCCUUUGGGGACGCGCCUCGAAACGCUCGGCGGCGUGGCACCGGCUUUAAGCGUAGCAGAAUCUUUCGCUUUGGAAGUCGGGGCCCCGUCUGCCGGAAGACCUACUCGCAAGGUUGACCUCGGAUCAGGCAGGGAUACCCGCUGAACUUAAGCAUAUCAAUAAUCGGAGGA
rnacentral:misc_RNA from 1 species